rnacentral:lncRNA from 1 species
CCCAAACCUCGCUGGUUUGGGGCAAAAAUCUAAUUAGCGCCACACGCAUCGCCCCACGCACGUGUGUUACGUGUGUGUGCACGGCAGCGUUCGUGUCGGAUAUUAAAAAAAUGUCGGGCUUUUGGCUCCCUUUUGUAAGGCAUGGAGCUGUGACCCUCCCUCCUCUCCUCCCUCCCCCCGUAGCCCCAGACUUCGCCGUGCCCUGACUGCUCGCUCAACAUGGAGUUGUCUUCGCUAUUUUUUUUAUAAGCCACAACACCGAGAGAGGAGGAGGAGGAAGGAGAGGAGAGGAAGGGAGAACCGAACCCCGAAGGAUGGCUCUCAAAAACCCCGGCGGCUCCGGGGCAGCCGGGCGGAGAUACUUUCUGGAUUUAUCCUGAACGAGAAGUGGAAUUGUUGAGUUAAUGCCCAGGAAGCAGCCCUUCUCCCCAGUGCUACACCCUGCAGCCCAGGAGGCCUUCACACACACGGUAAGAAAGCCUCUCUUCUUUGUUUCCAAGCUGAGCUCUGAGUGCAAGCAUUUAGUAGCAUUUAAAUGAAUUCUAUGCAAAAGUUGUCUGUUUUUCAGCUUUCAGUCUGAAGUUGUGUGAAUUGUGGCCACAGUGUGAAUUUAAGGCUUUAGUGCCUACGUUGGUGAAUGACGGAGUUUCAGAACAUAGCUCAGUGUUGAAGCAUUUUAGAGACUAUGCCAACAGUAAUGACUUUAUAAUUAAUGAUAAUCUUCAUAAUUUAUCUGGGACAGUGGCAAAAAUAAGUGAUCUACCUGUGUGUUAAUGGCUGCAGAAUAUGCGGGUGUGUUCCGUCCAAAUACGUUUUUGCAAGGAGAGGCUUUGUUGUGGGUCUGUCACUGUCCUGGGAGGGUAAUUUCUGAAAAUAGGGGGUACAAAUGCAAAUUUGUGCUUAAAAAUAUUGAAGCAAGCAUGUGCAUUAGCUCAUUUCUUGCUACUGUGUAUUUUUUCUACAGUAAGUUCACUUAUGAUGUAGAUGGUAUAAUUUAAUUCUGUUGUAUUCAAGUUUAUGAGAAUACAAGUUUUAGUCUUCAUUAUGUAGAACGAAGUAUGCUUUGCUUCUCUGACAUCCAUGCUGUGGUGGCACACUCGAAUUUUGGCAAAAAUAACUCUCACCAAAAUAACUAUUAAUUUGUACCCCCAGAUGAAUGCUGUGGUGGGGACAAAGGUCUUUACGUAAUAGCACAGGCAGAUUUCAGGGAUCACUGCAGCAAGCUGUAAAUGAUGUAUGAAAUGAAAACUUCCCAGCUGAUGCACAGUGAGCGCAGUUAUUGUGCUCUACGCAGUCGCUGCUGCGAGAGGCUCUUUGUUCCAAUACCACCUCAGGCACGUGCCAGCCCUUAAUGAAGAAAACUCUUAUGCUUGUAUUUGAAAGCAUUAAGUCCUUAAGAGUAACACUAAAGUGUUAGAAAAAUCUCUUAAGAUACUGUAUCAGUAAGUAUCCCACGGAAGUUUCCUGGCUGUUUGUAUGUUUGUUUGGGCAUAAAUAUCAUUACUUUACAGUAAUGAACUUGCCAUAGAUAGAAUGUUUCAUAAAAACUAUUCCUUCCUUUACUACUAAGAAUAUGUUACUAACAGAAAGUGCUGCGAGCCUGUCCUGCUGAGCAACUGGUACAAUGCCAUGAUGGAAAGUAUUUAUUUGAGAUGCAGAUGGUGAAGCUUGUACAUGAAGGGUGGUGUGAAUAAGGAGGCUUUGUGUGCUGAAAAGGAAUUUAUCAGGCUGGAUGGAUGUUAGUUUUUCUGCGGAGAUCAACUUUUUGUUCUUGUAAGCCUUCUGUAAAAGUUGCUCAUGGAUUUACUGAAAUGGGGCUGAAGGAUGCUUUUAGGAGUAAAGUUCGGUAUAUUAAAUAGGAAGAACUGGAUGGCUUCGAAACAGUAAUGAAAGUAGGUGACAUCUAAUAGUAUCUAGUAAGAAUAUUUUUUGCUGUUAGCUGCAAGGGUACCCUUAGCUAGGGAUGUGGGUGUGUUGGCUGAGCGCAGCAUGACUGGCAGUUGCCAGCACCAUGUGUAAGGGAAGAAGCUGAGCGCAAGCCUCGGUGGAUAAAAAAGAAGGUGAUUCCAGAGGGGUUAGCUGUUGUUACAGCUUGGCUGUUUAUGGGGGAAACUGUAGCAGUGUGAAACUGGGACUAUUGUCUAGCUGGAGAAGCGUGCUCAGGUGAUCUCUGCGUCUCAUCCUUACACGGGGCUGUAACAAUUAGCAGUGAGGCACUUCCCUUAACGAGGAAAGUCUGGAAGGUCUUCUCUCCUAAUGAUGUUCUCUGAAUGUGUUCGAUGUAAAUGAUUUGGCAAUCUGGCAAACAGGAAGAAUAACGUAAAGUGAAAGGUUUUCUUUCCUAAUGAAACAUGCUUGAGGUACUAUGAGAUUGGGAGAAUGAGUAAGAAGAAAGCAGCUCUUGAACUGUUUACUAAAUUGAAGACAAUAAUCAGAACAACUUUCCUAAAAGGGAGAGAGAGUCCCAUUUUUGUUUGGGCUCUUUCCUAUUUUCCCUUUUCAGAAAUAGAAGAUUAGGAGGUGUCUGCACCACCGUGAUAAAACCUUCCCACUAAAUGUAUUGUCGCCUCGAGUUCCGGUGCAAUGAAGUUGUUCUCUUUCAGUGCUGCUUUGUUUUUGACCCCUUUUUGUGAAUUCUCUGAGGAAAGAAACAUAUUCCCAUCUUUUAUAGUAAUCAAAUUUAUCUGGCAUCUCUCAGCCUCCUGCAUUACUUAUGCUACAGUUGGCCAGCCUUGGGAAGGCUUUAGCGGGUUUAUUUAUUUAUUGUUCUAAAGUGAAGGUUUUUGACUUGAGGUCCCCAUAUAAUCCUGGGGGAUUUUGAGAGAAAAACUGAAAGUGCUUUCUGCCAUUAUUUUUAUAUUAUCUAUGAAGCUAUAAAAAAACCACAACAAACAAAAAAAAUCCACAGCCUGAAAAAUAAACAAAACCCCACGUGUCCUUCCCCCCCAGCCCAGCAUGAAGCUCCCUUAUCUCUGUUGUAUUGGAAAUGUUUUCAUGUUGGUGUGAGAGCUCAGCGUGGCUGGCAUCAUCGCCUUUAAUUUCAGUGAGAAGGCAGCAGAAGUGUUUCACAAGUGUCUGCAUGUGCUAAUGAAAUUCUUAAACGUGUUUAAUAGCUCGUAAUGUGCCUUUGCUUAGUAAAUUGUGUCCUAUCCUGCAAAUAUUUGCUCUCUGGGGCUGGUAGCUGUGGCUCCUUACUGAGGGGUGACGUCUGGCCAGGUACGUUCUGGUGGAGCCAGGCAGGUUUUGUAGUUUGUGUAUUCAAUGUUGUGCUGUUUUCUUUGUGAAAAAUGGUGCUUCUGUGUCCAGGAAACAUAGACUGAAAUUCAGCAUAAACAAAGAUGCCCCUCGUUCUGCUGGUUGAUGGCAUCUGUGGGAAGCCAGCUGUGUUUUUGUAAUAAUAAUAUACAUUAGGGCAUGUGCAAUAAAUACAUAAUUCAUAGAUAGAUACAGAAGUACCUGAGCUGCACAACCUUCAAGAACUCUUUUCUCUUUCCCCUUCUCCAUCGAGGUGGACGUGAUGCUAACCAACCUGAAACACACAACCUGCAAAACUUUGAGCUCUGUCCAGACCCAGAGUUCACAGCUUGCUAAUGCUCUGGAAACAUGUUUUGCUUUUUCGAAUAUCUUUAAAAACACACAAAUACAUUUCUGGCUAAAUUAAUUUUCUAAAAGUGAAGGAAACUUGGAACAUUGGGAUUAGAGUGUAUAAAGCAAACUUUGAAUUGCCUUGUGGCAUACAGCAGAGAUUAAAUGAAACCAAAGUGCUAACACAGAGAGAGACAGAGCUGUGGUUAAGGGUAAAGCACUUAUUUGUGGCUCUUGACUCAGCUGAAAACAGCUGGUGGGGAAAGAAGCAGAAGGGCAGUGCCGGUGUUACGGGGGCAGAUGGGUGUGCACUGCCCAACCUGGCUUUCGUUGGCUGCUCCCACACAGGGCUGCUCAGCAAAAGGUGUGAGAUAAGCUACAGUUUGGUAAUUUAAAUAGUCCUGGAAAGCACAGGCCGUUCUGUAACUUAAUGUUAUUGUAAAUGUUAUUUGUGGAAAUACCCAGGAGUGCGCCCCGUCUCAGACAUUUCGCCUCUUUUCCAGUGCUCCUACAACUUAAGGAGCUGCUUUGUGUGCAAUGAACAGGGCAUUGUCAGUCACCACAACUUUGUUCUGGUUGUUCACCAUAUUUAAAAACCAACACAGUUUAUAUGGGAAUAAGAAGUGUCAGGCGUUUAGCUCAUCUUUGGAACAGUUUGGAAGACACGACCUGCUGUACUGACUGGUACAGUCCUGGGCAAAGGAAGGGAACUACUGCUGCUCUAAAGGACGGGGCUCACCCAGAAAACAUAAGAACGAUAAGUAGAAAUGGAAACUGAAGACAGAAAAUUCAGAUUGAAAACAGAGCAUCAAUCAGAAAGCCAGCUUGAAGAGUGUCAGUAAAGACCUGAGAGUAGUGCGUUAAUAUUCACCUUAUGCUUCAACUCUGUGUAGCAUCGCUUUAAUUUUUUGUGGUAUAAAGUAUUUUCCAGGAUAUUCUUUAAAUUAGGUUUAGACAGAGGUAAAUUAGCAAGAGGAAAAAAAAAAAAAAGAAGAGAGGCAGAGCUUUUAGAGAUCUUUGUUGAGCGUGCUCAGUCUGUCCUCCUGCAAACCCACUGCUUUCACUGGAAUGCCUAUAGACCACAUCUGGCUUUGUCACAGCUUCUUUCUUAAUUUCUGUUUCUAUUGCUGUUUGUUCAUCAAUUUAUUUCUGUAUUUGAAAAAAUGAAAUGCUGAUUAUAAAGGAAUAAAGCUGUACUGGGGUAUCAUCAAUUAUUUUGCUUUCAAAUAUGAUUUAUUUGACUAACAACCUUAAAAGCUUUGACUGAUUUAAUUCUCUUUUAUGCCUAUGAAAUCCACAGAAGGUUGACCUAGCCAUCUUCCUCAUCUUCUGCUUUUAAAGUCCGAAAUAGCAUUCCCCCUCUGAUUCUUUGAUCCUAUGGCAUUUUCUUAGAGAAGUAAACAGUGAUAGUGAGAAAAUGUUCGUAUCGCGUUUUGGAUGUACGUACCCGUGUAGAGGGAUUUUUAUUGCAGGAGGAAAAUCAAAUCCUUGUCACCUAAACUGCUAAUUAUGUUUGAUAAAUGUAUGGUAUAUAUUUAAUGCAAAGAGAAUUUAGGAAAUAAUACACCUUGUGUAAUUACAGCGACCGAGCUACUUCCAUCAAUCUAAUUUUUCUGAUUCGGGUUCAUUUGCAUUGCAUUAUUUUUAUUAAAUGAGCUUUCAAUGGAAGCCCUGCUCUCUGUCAAGAGCAAGAAUCAAAUACUGAAAUAUUUCAACCUGCAUAAAUCCGGUUUGCACAUCACAUGCAUCAUGCAUGGCUGCUCCAUGGCAAUAGAAAUGCAAACACGCACAAACGUGGCCAUUUCAUGUAGGUAAAAGUAGCAGCUGAAAAGCAGCCCAUACAUCAUGAAUUCAUGUAAGUUCCCAUUUUCACAGGUUGUCUGUACACGUACACGUGCCUGGUUGGAACUGCAACAGAUUUUCUUAGUGCCAUCCUCAGUCCCAUGGAAGAAUGUAGUGGAGCAGAGCGGCUCUGUGCAGCCCUCCAUGGGGGAGAAGCUGCUUGCAGUGCAUGAGCAGCACAUCCCAGGAGCUGUGCUUCCUCCUGUAGCACCGGUCUGUAAUGGGCUUGGUUGUCCUAAACUGAUCUCCUCGGGCUUCCCGAGGCACGGCAGCAGCUUCAGCUGCCCAGGGGCACAUUCAGUGUGUGAGCACUAUGCAGCUUCAGUCCAUCCUCCUGGCAGCAGGAGCUGCUGAAGCCCCGUUCUUUAAGUACUCCCACGUCCUUCAGAAAUGCAUGAGAAUGAAGAGUGGAGUUUCAGUUUGCUUUUUGUUCUCAUCCCAACAAUUCAAUAAGUAAAAUAAAGUAGAUCUCAUGCAUAUAAAUUACUCCCACUUCCUUGGGUGUACCUUCCUCUCAGAUGUGACCAUUUCCAACGAAGCAAAGCAGUUCAGCUAUUUCAGAAUUGUACUUGACAGUUUCCUUUAGGAGGAUACUGACUACAGCUUUGAUUACUUCGAGAUCAGUGGAAGAUAUUCCAUAUAAUUUCACUUAGCGUGGUGAUUAAUGUUAAUAAAUAAGCACUUUUUUCCUCUUAAAAUAAUUGCAAUUCAUUAAGUCCAAUUCAUUGGCAGGAAAGCUGUGGACUGGUUGUGUGCUGUUAAGUCCUGGGACUAGUUAGAAAUAAUUCAUCCAUUUCUGUGUACCACGUGCAUUAAUUCUGUGGGAAACAAACAAAAAAGUAAAUAAUUUCCAUUAGUAUAAUGGGAUAAUGGCACCGUUUCUCUCGUUUGUAAUAAUUACGUGUUUUAUUUGGAGAAUAAAAUACAAGGAUUCUGUAAAGAGCUGCGCGUGCUUACUGCUAGCGCAAACCAUCAGGUUUAUUAAAAGUGUUUUUCAGAUCUAACUAGUCACCAGUAAUUAAAAUUGAUGUUAAUAUUCUUGCAAGAAUUGUGGUGGGGUCUUUUGGUUGCUUUUCUAAGCUCAAAGCACGAUCAUUUGCAGAAGACAAAAUGUAGAAAAUAAUUCCUUGUCCCAGUCGGAUGGCCUGUAAUAACUUGAAAUCUUCAGAGUUCUUAAUAGCUUGCAAAACCUUUGCCAGCAUAUUUGGUCAUAACAUCAUUACGGUUCUGCUCAGCAGCCCACUAUAUUCUCUCGGUGAUAAUUAGAGCGCGAGUCUUUCAGCUCCCUGCUGCACCAGACCCAGAAACACCUUCUGUGAACGCAUCCCUGGCAGCGCUCCUCCGGGUACUUCACAGAACAUGUAAGAAACCCCAUAAAGUGCAACUAAUGGAUUAGUUCAUUGAUUAUAGAUUUUAAGGCCAGAAGGGAGUAUUAAAUUAGCUAAUGACAUCCUUUGUAACAUAUGCCGUCAAAAUUAGCCUAGCUAAUUCUAUAUUAAGCCCAUAAACUUGUAUUUAAACAGAGUAUCUCUUGUACCGUUUCAACUUGUCUUGAUGUGGGUAUUUUCAGUCAGGAAGGUUCUGCCAUUCCUUACUUUUCAGCCAGGUAUUAAAGCACAUCCCUUUUUGUUUGACUUCCCUCGGCUUCAGCCCCUGGGCGCUGGCCCUUGUUCUGGGCUCUUUGGUGAGACACAGCC